GACGAACGCUGGCGGCGUGCUUAACGCAUGCAAGUCGAACGGAAAGGCCCUGCUUUUGUGGGGUGCUCGAGUGGCGAACGGGUGAGUAACACGUGAGUAACCUGCCCUUGACUUUGGGAUAACUUCAGGAAACUGGGGCUAAUACCGGAUAGGAGCUCCUGCUGCAUGGUGGGGGUUGGAAAGUUUCGGCGGUUGGGGAUGGACUCGCGGCUUAUCAGCUUGUUGGUGGGGUAGUGGCUUACCAAGGCUUUGACGGGUAGCCGGCCUGAGAGGGUGACCGGCCACAUUGGGACUGAGAUACGGCCCAGACUCCUACGGGAGGCAGCAGUGGGGAAUAUUGCACAAUGGGCGGAAGCAUGAUGGAGCAACGCCGCGUGCGGGAUGACGGCCUUCGGGUUGUAAACCGCUUUCGCCUGUGACGAAGCGUGAGUGACGGUAAUGGGUAAAGAAGCACCGGCUAACUACGU
rnacentral:rRNA from 1 species